rnacentral:rRNA from 1 species
AUGAAGCUGGAAUUGCUAGUAAUGGCAGGUCAGCAUACUGCCGUGAAUACGUUCCCGGGCCUUGUACACACCGCCCGUCACACCAUGAGAGUUGGGAAUACCCGAAGCCUGUGAGCUAACUUAUAGAGGCAGCAGUCGAAGGUAGAAUCAAUGAUUGGGUGAAGUCGUAACAAGGUAGC